AUACGGAGGAUCCAAGCGUUAUCCGGAAUCAUUGGGUUUAAAGGGUCCGUAGGUGGAUAAUUAAGUCAGAGGUGAAAUCCUGCAGCUCAACUGUAGAAUUGCCUUUGAUACUGGUUAUCUUGAGUUAUUAUGAAGUAGUUAGAAUAUGUAGUGUAGCGGUGAAAUGCAUAGAUAUUACAUAGAAUACCGAUUGCGAAGGCAGAUUACUAAUAAUAUACUGACACUGAGGGACGAAAGCGUGGGGAGCGAACAGGAUUAGAAACCCUAGUAGUCC
rnacentral:rRNA from 1 species